GAUGAACGCUGGCGGCGUGCUUAACACAUGCAAGUCGAACGGAAAGGCCGAAGCUUGCUUCGGUACUCGAGUGGCGAACGGGUGAGUAACACGUGGGUGAUCUGCCCUUUACUUCGGGAUAAGCUUGGGAAACUGGGUCUAAUACCGGAUAUGACAAUCUCUUGCAUGGGGUUGUGUAAAGCUUUUGCGGUAUGGGAUGAGCUCGCGGCCUAUCAGCUUGUUGGGGGGGUAUUGGCCUACCAAGGCGUCGACGGGUAGCCGGCCUGGGAGGGUGUACGGCCACAUUGGGACUGAGAGACGGCCCAGACGCCUACGGGAGGGAGCAGUGGGGAAUAUUGCACAAUGGGCGCAAGACGGAUGCAGAGACGCCGCGUGGGGGAUGACGGGCUUCGGGUUGUAAACUCCUUUCGCAACCGACGAAGCUUUUUGUGACGGUAGGUGGAGAAGAAGCAACGGCUAACUACGUG
rnacentral:rRNA from 1 species